rnacentral:rRNA from 1 species
GACGAACGCUGGCGGCGCGCCUAACACAUGCAAGUCGAACGAGCGAGAGAGAGCUUGCUUUCUCGAGCGAGUGGCGAACGGGUGAGUAACGCGUGAGGAACCUGCCUCAAAGAGGGGGACAACAGUUGGAAACGACUGCUAAUACCGCAUAAGCCCACGGUGCCGCAUGGCACAGAGGGAAAAGGAGCAAUCCGCUUUGAGAUGGCCUCGCGUCCGAUUAGCUAGUUGGUGAGGUAAUGGCCCACCAAGGCGACGAUCGGUAGCCGGACUGAGAGGUUGAACGGCCACAUUGGGACUGAGACACGGCCCAGACUCCUACGGGAGGCAGCAGUGGGGAAUAUUGCACAAUGGGGGAAACCCUGAUGCAGCGACGCCGCGUGGAGGAAGAAUGUCUUCGGAUUGUAAACUCCUGUUGUUGGGGAAGAUAAUGACGGUACCCAACAAGGAAGUGACGGCUAACUACGUG